UUCUAUCUCCGGCUUUUCCUUUAGCAGAGAUGGAUAGAACUGCUGCUACAAUGCUGUGCAUUUGUUCACUGUGCUCUUUUGUUUGUCAUGUGCUAUGAUAUUUAUGUCCCAGAUGCAGUAGAUAUGAGUGCUGUCGAGUGAUGAUAAUUUUAUGAAACAACAGAGGUGGAAACAAAGUUGUAGCUUAAAAAGCAAGUAGGUCUUUCUUGCAUUGAUGUCAUGGGGAGAAAGAAUGGCACUGGAGAAAUCAGUUUUUGGGUUAUAGGGACAGAUCUUCAGAAAUGUCGGCAGAAAGUUAUUAGAUAAAGCAAACAGUUUUAGCUCGUGGGUUUAUUUAGUGUAUGAGAAUGGAAAUAGAGAGCUUAUGUAGAUUGUUUUUUAAAAAUAUUUUUUAGAUAUGGAGGCUGUAGUAUUCUUAACUAUAGAGUCCUUCUCGAGGAGUUUGACAUGGUUAUUAGGAGUUUUUGGCAAAAAGGUUGAGCUUAUUUUGAUAUAUAUUGCAGGACAUUACCUUGUGACAUAGUUCAUCUAUUUUAUUUUAUUUUUUUUAAGAUAGGGAGAUGCAUACGUGCCAUAAUUAUCCAAGUCCAGAUUCUUAGGCAUGCACCUUCCAAGAAUUUAACUCAGAACCUCUAGUUGGUAACAUGAGGGGUGUGACCACUAGCACAAACUCUAAUUCAAGUGGUAUAACUCAUGUAACUAUGAACUUUGCCUAUUUCUAAGCUAAUACUUGGAUUGUUAUCUUUAGAAAGUUGGAGAGUGACAAAACAAAUGAUAAACUUAAGAUACUUCAAACAAAGGUCAUCACAUAAAACAACAUUAUGAAUUUUUACUUGGUGUAUACUGAUUUGUAUAACUUGGAAUCAAACAUUGAAAAAAACAAAAAUUGAUGACUCUAUGUUUGACUUGAAAUUGAUAAGGUGGUGGAGAAAGAUAUUGCAUUUUACUUUUGUUAAUCUGGAAGAUUACUUCAUCAAAGUUAUCUUUAUUUAUAAUGGUUAAAUCAGUUUUUUUAAAAUAUAUGAGUCCAUAUAAGCAUUGAUAAUUCUGGUUAUCUUCAUGUGUAUAUGCUUUAUGAAGUAUUUUUUUCUUUGCUAGACAUAAGUUGUGCUAAAUUCUUUGACCAUGCAAUUGUUGGAACUAAAGAUACCUAAACUACUUAGCUAUCUCUAAUUUGUAUAACUUGUUAUAAAUGACAUGUAAUGCCCUAAAGCUUUGGUCCGCAAACAUGGUACUUUAGGCAAUAAUUUUUAUGCAGUCAAAUGGUUGUCAGACGUCUUAGUCAUGAAUAUAUCAUAGUUAUGAGCAUGGAUAACAAUGUUAAGAGUUUGCUAGAAUCUAAAUGUAGGAUGAGGUUUUCUUAUAAGGAAGAGAAUAAUUACCACCCACCUCCAUCAAUGCCAUGAAAGCCCAAUUAAAUGGUGUAUCCCUGCAACCAUUUGCUACAUUAAUUAACAAGGAAACUAAGAACCUUCUUCUAUUGUGGAGCAAUAGAUUGGCUUUAGCUUCAAGAAACUGAGCUGGAAAGCACGGAUACUUAAAUUACUUAUGUCCGUAUGGGAUGCGUAUUAGAUGCCAAUACUUGUUAAUUAGUAAUAUAAUACAUGUUGGAUAGUUAAUUAAGUAUUCUUUCUUUUUGAAAUUAUAAGAAGGGCUUUUAAUACUUUCUUAUAUGCUUGAGAAUUGAGAUACUUUCUUGAUACCUUUAGGGCCUGUUCUUUGGUGGAUAAAUAUCAUGAGAAAGUUGGUUAUUUUUUUAUUAACCAACUUACCUAUGUUCUUAUGCUUCUCUAUGUUGCUAAGUUAUUUUUUGAUUGACAACAUUUAUCCAUGAAAUUGGUGGAAAGACUUUCCCACCCUAGAGGUGAGUAAAUUAUUUUCUCAUCAACUAGUAAAAUAACCUUUUUAUUUUCUUCCUAAGAUAUCCCUAACCCUCUCAUAAUAAUAUAAUACUAUAAUAAUAUAUAAUAAUAUAUAAUAUGAUAUCUAUUAUAUAACAUAAUAUGAUAUAUUAUACAUAAUAAUAUUUAUGUAAGAAAAGCUGUUAUGGAAAAUAUGGAUAGUUUUUAGCAACUUAUCCAAAAAAGUAGUAUUGUAAAAGAACAUGGAUAACAGAUUUUAUAGCCAUUUUCUAAUGCAUAAAAGAUCUUGGAUAAAUUAUUUUCUAUCUAAAUGUUGCCUGAAAAACACUUAAUCGGGAAGGUAAGAUUCUCGAAUAAAUUUUUUACCCCCCAUAAAAUGAGCCGUUAGAAAGGAAGGGGGGGGGAUUUCUUUCGUACUUUCAUUAAUUUUGGAUGCAUGUUGAUCUUUGAGUGGUGAAUGGUCAAGUAUGAGUUUCUUACGUCAAUAUUGCUAUCUAGAGUAUGGUUAAUAGUCUCUAAAUUUGAUUAUGGACUAAUUUGUCCCUACUGAUAAGAGACUAUGCUUUAUCGUUAUUUUUUACAUGUAUAAAAAAUAUAUAUUUAUUUAGUUAAUGUUAUAUCCUAUUUGCAUCCAUUUUUUCAAAAUUUAUUGUAUUAGCCUAUUUGUAUUUUGCAAUGUUCCUUUUUUCUUUUUUGCUUUUCGAAUCCAUGUAAUAUAUAUACCAACUAGGACAGGUUUAAUAAACUCCUUGCAAAUAAAGGUGCAAAAGGGAUAAGAUCUCCUUAAGCAACAUGGUAGCUUAUUCAUAGGGAUCAUGAGAUAGGAUAGCUCUUACAUAAUAAAUUUAUUUGUAGGAAAAGUGUGCAAGAUUUAGGUUUGAAUUCAGUACUUAUCCAACUUUGAGACUGUAUGCCUUGAUCUUUUUUUGUGGACCCUUUAAACUCCUUAAAGAUGCACAUGAAGCCCUUAGUGCAUACUCCUUGAAGUUUUCUGAUGGCUCUUCUUAAAGCCACCGGGUUGAGGCCUAUUCUUGUCAAGGUCUAUUCCUUCACUGCAUGUCUUUAUUGUACCAUCUUCUUUGAGAAUCGUGACUUCAUUACUAAUGUUGAUACUAUCAAUACCAUCUACAUCCUCGAGGUCAUCUCUUGGUCUUUAUUUCUAAAGCUUAUGCAACCUUGGGGCUAAGUAAGGAGAGAAAGAUGAGUACUUGUGUAAUCUCUCCUAUCUCGAAGCAAAACCAAUGCUGAGGCCCUUUCCCAAGGUUAUGUUUGUUGAGCAAAGAUCAUAGUUACUAGGAUAGAAGCAUGAUGAGCUUACCUUUGACAAAAGGGCCUCUCAUCAUGAUUACUAGAGAGGGGCUAAGCAGCCGAGGGUGAGCAUAUAUGCAACUCCUUCCAUUUCCAAACCAAGCGUAUGUGAAGAUCCUUUGCCAAGAUUGUGCUUGUUAAGCAACAAUCAUGGUUACUGGUGUCGGAGCACGAUGACCUUGCCUUCAAUAAAAGAGCCUCCAUCAUGGUUGCUCAAAAGCUCAAGUGAGGAAACAAUGCUGUCAAAGCUUGAGGGCGAAAAUUCGAGAUGCAACCCAAAAUGGUUGAUAAAGAUGAAGUUGCUAGGAUCUUCUACUAUCAUCAGAAGCAAUGUUAGCUGCAUCGUUGUUUUGAAUGCUAAAGGAUGUAAUGUUCUUGCAAGAUGAUAUCGAGGCGUCAUUUCUUUUAUGCAUAUGUUGAAAUGCAAAUGAUAGUGGAAGUUUUUUAUCAGCAUUGAUUGACAAAAUUUUUGUAUAUUUAAACAAGAUAAUGGAAGGUUUUAUCAACAUUGAUUGACAAAAUUUUUGUAUAUUUAUACAAUUAGUAUGAACAUUUUUGAUUGGUAUUAUUUUCGUUGCUUUAAACCUCCAUAUGUUGGACACCUUACAUAUCAUUUGGUUGAUACAAUUUCCAAUAUGAUGAUGGUGGCAAAGGUCUAGCUAUUGGCAUGAAUGAUGAAAUUUAAUGUCGUAGUAAAGUCUCGCGGAAAGAUUUCUUGGUUGUGUGAUGCCAUGAACUUCCACCCUAUAUUUCCAAAUGGAGAAUCAAUAGUAUUAAAGGAUUAGGUGGAUGUAAAUGAAGCAACACUUGACAUGGUUGCCAAUUUUGGAAAUAAAUGCAUGAAGCACCAUGAAAAAUAGAGCAGGAGAUGAUGAAAUAUACACUGAAUGGAGGCAUAAAAAGUAUAGAAGAAACCUAGGACGUAAGGAAAACUUGGUUGAAGGAAAAAACAAAAAUGAAUUGAUUUACAACCCUUGUGUCUAGGAUAACACUUGUUAGGUGGAAAUGUGCCUGUAUGGAGUCAAUGACAUUAUUGUGUUACAUGUGGCUCCAUUAACUAAUAUCAUAUUUCUGGUGAUUACAUUGUCAAUCCAAUUUUUUGUUUUUUGAUUCAUUAGACUUUUGAUCAAGAUUUUUGUCGACACUCUUUGGCACUUCAAUUCAAGACUAUAAAUCUCGUGGGAAUGUGGUGUCCCGAUUUCUCCACGGAAGAGGAUGCCUCGCAUCCCGCCCCAUCUUGAGGUUGUCUUGGUUGGUGACUGAACCAUCCUUCCAUCACUGAGGGGGGAGAGAGGAGGGGACAUCCUUCCAUCAUUGAAUCAUCAAUUGCUCGCUUUGAGAUCUAUGUGGACAUAUGAAUGAUAGAGUUUUGAGCGCUUUGAGACCUGUGUGGUUGGUGAUUGAACAAUGAAUAAGGGUCCUUUUAUGGUGAAAGAUAUCCCAAUUUUGCAUAUCAGAAAGGGAAAAAAAGGCACAUGAUUUUUUGUUUUCCUCAUGACUGGCUCAUGUCCCAUCUAUUGGGAAAAAAAUAGAAGAAGAAAGGAGACCUACAAACCGAGCCCCUCCCCCCAACCUCUAGCAUCAUUAGAAAAAAAGAAAGGCCGAAUUGACUUUCCUUUCCUUUUUCCUUCGAAAUCCCAAUCGGACGGUCGUGUUGGUGUGUGACCCGGCCAGGCUAGUGGGAUUAUUGAGACAGGGGAUGGAAGUAGGUUUCAAGGUUCUCUAUUCUUCCGUGUGCCGUUGUCAUAAUGUGAUCAUUAUUAUAUGCCAACUUCUGAUAUUUUUACAUGAAAUUUACAAGUAUAAGAUAAAAUUUUAUAAAUAAAGCAUAAUUGACCUUUCAUUUUAUGGAUAACUUCCAUAUAUUUUUUAACACAUAAUAUGAGCUGAAGACAUGUUCUUUGUUAGAUUUCACAAAGAUUCCUAUGUCGGAUUUUACAUGACAACUUGAUAGUUGAUACUAUGUUAUGCACUUGAAAACAUUGGUUGCUAGUAAAAAAGUCAUUUCUUAUGUCUUUUCCAGUAAUAAGGGGCUCUAUAUUUAAAAUUGCUUUCACGAUUGGCAUUUAGGGGCUUAGGUGUGGCAAUAGGUCAAGGAACGCUUGUUUUGGGAAUGGAUCAAUGAUUAACUUGCAAAACCAAUGAGGUUUGCAAAUUAUGAGCCCUACAUAAGACACUAAUAAUCUUGAUUCGACAAUAUGGAGACUUCCUACAAGCCCAUGAAAUUCUUGUAUGUUAUGGUGUUGAUGUAUGAACACAUGGAAUAUAUGAUACAAACUUUUGACAUUAUUGAAAAAAUGACAUGGUAGUGCAAUAUAUGAUAUCUAGCACAUUAAAAAAAAUGGAAAAGUAAUAAUGAGAAAUAGGAAGUACUUGAACACAGAUAACUAUAAAAUUGGUUAGAUGUUAGGGACAAUAGUGUCGCCCUAAAAGUACCAUCUCUUAAGAUAUUUUUUAAUUUUAUUGUUCCAUUUAAUUGAUGGCUCCAUUCAAUAUUUUGUGUGGUUGGAAAAUUUCUGGUCUUGAAUGCAUUACAUAGGUACCAACAUAUAAUAAUAAGUUAGGUCGGGCUUAUCCAUUCUGAAGUUGUUAAAGACACUUUUUAUGAAGUCUGAGGGAUGGGGAAUGUUGUGUUUCUAAAGGAGAACAAUUCACCUUCCUCUUUUUCUUAUUUUCAUUUUGAUCUUGAUUUAGAUCCAUUUAUAUCAGGUUUGGGAUGGAAUGAAUAUGGGUAACUGCAGAUCGGAAGGAAAUAAAUUAUGGAGUCAUGAGAUAGCAACAACUUUAAGCAAUAUGAAAAAUUUUGGACAAAUUGUAGUCACUCAUAUAUGGUAUUGCUUAUUAUGUUUGGAUGAUCGCUUAUCUAGAAGAACAAAGAAAAUCUUUGUUCAUGUGGAUAUUUGAUGUCCCAUGCGACAUAUUGUGUAACAUUUUUUGUUACAUAGAUGGAGCAAUAUUUUCCAGAUUUGCCAAAUCAUGGCCAAAUUUGGUAAACAAAACCACCAUCUUGAUUCUUUCUUGUAACAAAACAGAUACUUGCAUGGGAGUAAUCCUACAAGGACCACGAUGACUACUCUUGUCUCCGUCAUUAAUUGCACUCGAUAUUCUUUAUUAAGUCAGCAUAUGUGUGCGCUAGUGAUGAGAUGGACUAUGUCAAGCUUAAAAUGGGCUGCAUAAUCUCAUGGUCAUAUAAGAAGUUGUAUUAAGUUGGUUACCCUAAGACCCCAAUAUUUGGCCUUUGAUAUGAACCCAAGUUUAUUCCAAUCUACGGACCUUCAUGCUUAUAAUUUCUUUAAAAAUUGAGCAUAAGAUUGUCGACACCUUUAUGCUAUAAGUUGUUGGAGUAAAAAAAUAGAAUUAUGACGUAAGGUCAAGGGUUCGAGGCUCAAAUUUAAUGUGGUGGGGAGGAUAUGAGGACCAAAUGAGAUAUCAUGAAAUUAUCUUCCUUUUUUUCUUUAGAGAAAGAUGCAUAUGAUUGGAAACCAAAAGGGUGAAAUGACUGAACCAUAGAUUUAGGAGAUGUGAUUAAUUUUUUAUAAUAUUAUUAUCUAUUGAAAAAUGCUAUAAGGACCAAAAAUAUUGCCAAAAAAUUUUCUUUGCAUUGAUGGCAUGCCACAUUGCACAAGAGUUUUGGUGCUUUAUACCAUAAUACCUUGUGAACAGCAUCAUCCUCAUGAAUCAUACUUUUUGUUUUAAAAAGAUGGGCUGCUUGAUUUUCUAAGCAGCUGCUUUAGGUGGAUCAAGUGCCUUAUCUGUUGGGCAGCCCAAAUGGGUGUCUAUCACUAGACCUGUGCUUGUACAUGUGUUCGUGCGUCAAGCGAGAAUGUGAAGCCUCGAGCAAGGCCUAAGUGCUUCCGGUGUUUCGGGUCAAAUUGAAAUGAGUUGUUUAUUCGUAACUCCAAACAUAAUUGGUUAUCUUAUAAAUUUGAUCAAUUUUCGUUGCCUUGACCCUAAAUAUGCAGAGUACAAAAAGAUUGAGGGGAGAAGAAAGAGGAAUGGCAAUUAGUGCUUGGCAGUUGGCAUUACAUUGCUCAGUGGAAUGGUGGUUGUGGUGCUUGAUAGUUGGCAACUUUAUUAUGUGGUAGUUUCAUUUCUUUUGAUUAAUGUUCCCCCUAAUAUUUAUCUUUUUUUUGUCUUUUUUUGGCGGGGAGUGAUGAGGUUUGGUUAUUAUGGGCGGGCUGGCACCAAUGAUGAUGGUCGUGGCUGCUUAUGGAGCUACCACUAGUAGCAAUAGUCGUUGUUGGUGGUGUUAGGCAGCUACGAGUACCUAUUGUAGGAGCUUUUAUGGCUGGGUGCCUACUUAGUGCAUGGUGCUAGGACACUCAUUUCAUGCCUUUUGUUUUUUAAAAGAAAUAACAACACCAAUCUCUUCAUGCCAUGUGGCAUGCCAUACAUACGAGAAAAGUUUUGGUAAUAGGGCUAAACCUCAUAGCCUUAAUCUCCCAUGCAAAUGAUAUAUUUUGAUCAUUAACUCAUUAGGGACAUGUGUGUGUGUGCGUGUACAUAUAUACAUGUAUAUAUAUCAUGUAUUUGUACACAACUGAAGAAAUGCCAUCCUAUAGGAACCCAGAUGUCCUUGAUGACAUCAAUCUUACCCAAUAUUAAACAUGUAGGGAAUGUGCAUGUGUGUAGACACUCACACAUGCUACACAUAUAUAUACAUCUAUAUGUAGAGGAGAGGGAUUGCAGUGCUGCUUAUAUGAAAAACCUGGUUCUAAAUUCAACAUGAUAUUAACAAUUUCAAUUUCAAUCAUUUUGACCUCAGUAAAGUUGCUUAAUCAUGACCUAGAGGUCAUAGGUUCAAAACACGAAUAUAACUUCCUUUCAUGUGCUGGAUACAUCUAACCCUAUGCAGACUCCGCAAUAGUAGGAGCACUAUGCAUUGGGUUGCCCUUUUUUUAUAACAUCCUAUUGAAAUACUAUGAACAAUUUGUCAUCAAACUAAAGAAUGUCAUCAAAUUUUGUGAUAACCAUUAAGUCAAUAUAGUUUGUCCUUCCAUUUACCUUUCAGUAAUAUUAACUAGCAUAAGCCAAAAAAAGAAUCAUAGGAGUAUUGGGAACCAAAAUCUCAUUUCAAUUGAAAGGUAUUUAUGAAAUUAGUGGACUACAGGACCUACUAAGCAAUUCUGUUGUUUAAAAGGGGGGACUUGGAAUUGAUUUAAGAAAUCAAAUGGAUAUGGACUUAUGGCACGGACAGGUCAUGAGUUUUCAUUUUAUUUUAUUCAUCUAUUCAAAUCUGGCUAGUUCCUAUAGUUACACACAGUUCCACUCAUCAUUUUUUUUACAUGGUUAGUGGAGCUGUGCUCUUCGUCUACGGUAAUGGGGAAGGGUGAGCAGGAAGUGGGCUUUCUCCUUUCUACUAUUAUUUGGUAGAGAUAUUUGUCAACAAUUGUUCCUGGUGAGUAUGUGAAGUUUGGAGUUGAACUUGGGUUUUAAGAUGUGGAUGGGCUCUAACUCCACCUAAUUUUUCCCAUCUUUGAUGGUUUUUAUGUUAUUAGAGAAAAAAGAACUCUCACAUGGAUUUGGAAAGGAGGAUUGUAAAUGAAAGUGAAUCUCUCAUUUAGUUCACCUCCAUGUUGGACCUUGACAACAAUUCCAUGCAAAUCUUUUGUGUAAUGAAGAUUUUUAGGCAAUCUAAGAUUCCUUUUUAUCACGGUUAUGGGUUCAAAUUUAGCCAUUUAGGAUCCAAGGGCUACAAUUCUUUCCACAAAUUUCUUCUCUUGAGUUAAUAUUUUACAUGUGUCCGUAUGAGGAGUUAUUUGAGACCAAUGAGCUCUAUAAUGGUGGGAAGUUUUUGAUGGAAAAUAAUAGAGUCGUGUGGUUUUAAGAAUCAUAGGUAUCAAGAUGAAGAUUCCUGAUUCCUAAUGGUGUUAUGCGAACAUUUUCUUAAAUUAACCAUGUAUUGAAGCAUUUUGCUAGGUGUAUCGGCUCCUAAGGAUUUUGGUUCUGUGGCAAAAUGUGGACUUCUAAAAGUCACCUAGGGUUUGGAAUGGUGAUGGAAAGCAAAAGCAUGUUAGAGUUAAGUUGAGCCGUUGUGAAUAUUCAAGAUUUUGGUUAUGUGGCAAAAUGUGAACUUCUAAAAGUCACCUAGGAUUUAGAGUGGUGAUGGAAGGCAAAAGCAUGCAGAGUUGAGCAGUAUUGAAUAUUCAAAUGGGGGAUAUGGUGCUAUAUCUUUGAACGGAAAAAUUCAUCACAAGGCAGCAGUCUGUCAUGGUUGUGCAAAUUGUGUUUUGUUUUAUUGGACAAGUGCUUCUUAGGGGUAUUUAGGAGGCCAUGUGAGAUUCUCCAAGUUAGAGCUAAAUGAAAUUGAGCGCAAAGUCUCUUCGUGAAAAUCAUGGAGUUACAUAUCAUCAAUAGUCAGGAAGGUCAUUGGUUGUGAACUGGAAAAAGAGUCAUCUUAUUAGUAAAGUUAGUCUAAAGGCUCAAUCGAAUUUUGUCAACCUGUUUUUAAACUUCAUGGAGACCCCUUCAAAGUGUUUUAUUUGAAAAUGAUGAAGAGAUCCCAAGGUGGCUUGAUGAUAAAACAAGACAGAUUAUUGGGGUUACGCUGAUUUUCUCCCUUGGUAACAGAAAAUCCAAUGCAUAUAGACAAUGAUAAUUAGGAUUUGAAAUGGAGAUUUAGUGCUUGGGCAACAAAAGAUGUACAAUCCGAUGAAUUAAUGGAAGAGAAUGGGGAAGCCUUUCUCACUCUCAUGCAAGCUUGGAACAGGGGUUGAUUACUGAUGAUAAAAUAUAAAUAAGAGAAUCUCUUCUAACAUAAAAUUGGUUACGAGCUCUAGUUCAACAUCAAUUUUUUGUACUAGGUUAGGAGAUAUUGUAGCUAACAUCUGUAUGCAGUUAGGAAUUCGUUCUUUCAAAAAUUUCAAGUUUGCACACAGUAUAAUACAAGGGCAACAUUUUAUGCACUCUAUUCGUGUUGUACUAUAUAAUACCCAUCGAAGCUUGUGAGGCAUGAUCAAGGACUAGCUGCCAGAGUUUUGGCCCAAUUGCAUUGCAAGGGUGCAUAAAAAAAUUACUAAUGAUUUAGUCCUUACAAGUUUCCAUAAUAGUUAGUUGUAUUCUUUGCUAUUGCAUCUAUCACAGCCUUUGUAAUAACAAAAUUAAUUAGGGGGAUUUUCAAAAUCUCAGUUUGAGUUAAGAGUCUAUAGAUGUCAUUCUAAGUAAUGAGACGUAAAAGCCAAAGGACUGCAUAACCAAGAAGAUUGGUCUAGAGUGUAGUGGAGAAAAGAAUUUGAAGGACUAGGAAGCAAGACUAGAUUCAUUUGACAGCUUGUUAAAUAAUCUUUCCACCACAUUCGAAUUGUUUUGACUGGAGAGAAGGUAGAGGAGACAUUGCCAUUUUAUCCCUGCUUUAUUUCUGUCUGAUUUAACUGUAUCAUAAGCCCUCUUUUCUCUACUUGGAUGGUGGUUCCACACCCCCCUUUGGUCCCCCACAAUGCGGUGUGGUUGGCAUGACAGUUAUCAUGAAUGCAUUGUUGGAAUCAUGGCUAUGACUCCUGAAGCCUGAGUAAAUUGAGUAGAGUGAUCCUAGAAUGAGCAGUUUAUGUUUUGCUAGGAGGAAUGAAAUCUACAUAUGUUAUGCAAAAAUUGGGUGACACCCCAUGGUCUUCAUCUUUUAUUAAGUUCCAUUUAUGUUGAACGCUUAUAAAACAUUCAAUGCAGAUAAUUUUUGAUAAAAACUUUGCAGAGGUCCAAAAUUACAGUUCUUGAGAGAAUAAUUUACCUAGCUGUUCAGUGAAAUAAACAGUUCACUGAAGCACAAUCAUCAAUAGUGCAUGGCCUGGCUAUCUUUUUAUUGAAAUAUUCUCUCUGAAUGCAUAGGUAUAAUUUUUUAG